rnacentral:rRNA from 1 species
AAGCACCUAAACGGCGAAACUGCGAAUGGCUCAUUAAAUCAGUUAUCGUAUAUUUGAUAGUACCUACUACAUGGAUAACCGUGGUAAUUCUAGAGCUAAUACAUGCUUAAAAUCCCGACUUCGGAAGGGAUGUAUUUAUUAGAUUAAAAACCAAUGCCCUUCGGGGCUCACUGGUGAUUCAUAAUAACUUCUCGAAUCGCAUGGCCUUGUGCCGGCGAUGGUUCAUUCAAAUUUCUGCCCUAUCAACUUUCGACGGCUGGGUCUUGGCCAGCCGUGGUUACAACGGGUAACGGAGGGUUAGGGCUUGACCCCGGAGAAGGAGCCUGAGAAACGGCUACUACAUCCAAGGAAGGCAGCAGGCGCGCAAAUUACCCAAUCCCGAUACGGGGAGGUAGUGACAAUAAAUACUGAUACAGGGCUCUUUUGGGUCUUGUAAUUGGAAUGAGUACAAUUUAAAUCCCUUAACGAGGAACAAUUGGAGGGCAAGUCUGGUGCCAGCAGCCGCGGUAAUUCCAGCUCCAAUAGCGUAUAUUAAAGUUGUUGCAGUUAAAAAGCUCGUAGUUGAACCUUGGGCCUGGCUGGCCGGUCUGCCUCACCGCAUGCACUGGUCCGGCCGGGCCUUUCCCUCUGGGGAGCCGCAUGCCCUUCACUGGGUGUGUCGGGGAACCAGGACUUUUACUGUGAAAAAAUUAGAGUGUUCAAAGCAGGCCUAUGCUCGAAUACAUUAGCAUGGAAUAAUAGAAUAGGACGUUGCGGUUCUAUUUUGUUGGUUUCUAGGACCGCCGUAAUGAUUAAUAGGGACAGUCGGGGGCAUCAGUAUUCAAUCGUCAGAGGUGAAAUUCUUGGAUCGAUUGAAGACUAACUACUGCGAAAGCAUUUGCCAAGGAUGUUUUCAUUAAUCAGGAACGAAAGUUAGGGGAUCGAAAACGAUCAGAUACCGUUGUAGUCUUAACCAUAAACUAUGCCGACUAGGGAUCGGGCGAUGUUUUUCUUUGACUCGCUCGGCACCUUACACGAAAGUAAAGUUUUUGGGUUCUGGGGGGAGUAUGGU